UACGUAGGGUGCAAGCGUUGUCCGGAAUCAUUGGGCGUAAAGCGCGCGUAGGUGGCUUCGUAAGUCCGUUGUGAAAGUCAAAGGCUCAACCUUUGAAUGCCGAUGGAUACUGCGAAGCUAGAGUACGGAAGAGGCGAGUGGAAUUCCUGGUGUAGCGGUGGAAUGCGCAGAUAUCAGGAGGAAUACCGAUGGCGAAGGCAGGUCUCUGGGCUGACACUGACGCUCAUGCACGAAAGCGUGGGGAGCAAACAGG
rnacentral:rRNA from 1 species